GUCUAUGGCCAUACCACCCUGAACGUGCCUGAUCUCAUCUGAUUUCAGAAGCUAAGCAUGGUCAGGCCUGGUUAGUACUUGAAUAAGAGAAAGUCUCCAUCAUAUUUU
rnacentral:rRNA from 1 species